UACGUAGGGCGCAAGCGUUGUCCGGAAUUAUUGGGCGUAAAGAGCUCGCAGGUGGCGUGUCGCGUCUGCCGUGAAAGCCCAUGGCUUAACUGUGGGUCUGCGGUGGAUACGGGCAGGCUGGAGGCUGGUAGGGGCAAGCGGAAUUCCUGGUGUAGCGGUGAAAUGCGCAGAUAUCAGGAGGAACACCGGUGGCGAAGGCGGCUUGCUGGGCCAGUUCUGACGCUGAGGAGCGAAAGCGUGGGGAGCAAACAGG
rnacentral:rRNA from 1 species